GGAAAACUUUGAGGUGAGAGGGGAGGAAAUAAAAGGAAAAAGCCUAAGAGAGUGCCCUAUCCCUAUUCAGUUUCUCUAAAUUACUAUAUCUGUGAAGGGGCCCUCUUCACACCUGACAGCUACAGUCCUUCCUGUAACAAACUUUUUGAAUUAAUUAUACUUACAUAGGGCACUAUCAAUCUAAACAUUUUCACUAGGACAAGUAGUUGUAAUUGUGCAGUAGAACUUCCUUGUCCUCUCAGCUCCAUGUGCAUCACCUGGGCAGCUCAUAAAUCUGCUCCAAAGGGUUGGGGAGACCCCUGAAACAGAUUUAGGGGUCACACGUGGGCUCAUGGAUAGCAGAGAUGGAAUUCCCUUGGGCAACUAAAACUUCCUUUGCUGGAUGAACUGUUUAGUUGGAUAAUAAAUUGAUACCAAGUUGAUAUCAGUAUCAACAUUUGAAUGACACAUGAACACUACUGGCUUGCAUAAGGGGUGGGGGAACUUUUUUGUACCGUAUCCUAGAUCCUUAUCAGGAUCAGCCUCAUGGGCCAAAUUUGACUAGGAAGAGCUAUCCACCUGUUAGUCACAUGGCAUCAUUAUGACACUCUCUGCCAAACCUCUCUCUGAGGCCCCUCUACUCCGCAUUUAAUGCCACUUUAGCUUCAAAGAGCAAAGGGCUUUAACCUCUGCCUCUCAGCUGAUAAGUGAAGAUUAGCUUCUUCUGCCAUGGCUAUGCAAUCCUUUCCGCUGCUCAGAACAGGGUGCACAGCCCAUGCAGGAUUAAAUUCUGUCCUCCCGCCCAUCAGCUGAUGUCACCAGUGAUGUCAGUUGAUGGGCAGGUGGGUAUGGUUUGGAGAAAAUGGUCUCAUGGGCCAAACUGAACUCUCUGGUGGGUCAUGAUUGGCCCAUGAGCCAGAUGUUUCCCACCCCUUGGGUUUAUACUGAGUUGCUGUAAAAUUUCACUCCAUCAGUUUUAAUGUGCAUAUGGUUUAUUACACAGAACCAAGGAGUUCAACAACCAAAGAGCCGAAGCAAGUUUCUAAGAUAACCCCGCCCCUGAAAGAAAGAAAAAACACCAUCAAACAUCAGCUUUUCAAAUUUCAAACUCCCAUGCCAGAAAUAAUAUUAGGAAAACUCAGAGAUUUCUUAAUACUCUUUCUGGCAUUAGUGUUGUAGUUUCAGAUUAGUAACAGAAGCUUGAUUACUUAUGCUUCAGGUGCCCCACAGGAUGGCCCAUUAGUAGCUAAAAGGCUUUCUGCAUGUUGCCAAAUCAUGUGUAGCAUGGGAGGACUUGGGAAGUCUCUGGCAAUACAUUGGCAUAGCAGGUGUCCCUUCUGGUCUCCAGAUGGAGGCAUUGUUUUCUCCUGGAUUUUUUAAUAAUGUAGACUAGAACAGCUUGCGAAAAAAAGAGAAGAUAAAAGGAACUAUGGAAGGAGAGAAUGGGAAGUCACGAAAUUUUAUUUAUUUAUUUAUUUUGUUUUCUAUUCUUUUAUGUUAUUUCAAAAUUUUAUCCGAUAUUAUUUCAGAGAUUGUUUUUCCUAUUAUUUUUGUAUUAUUUCUGUUUAUGCUCUGCUGAUAUUGAAAUGUAUCAGAAAUGCAAAUCAUAAUAAUAAAAAAAUAACUUUCAUUUGGCAUAACUGUAAGACUAAGGAGCACUUCAUUUACAAUAGGAGGAUAGGAAAAACAUUGGAGAAAUGCUUUUCACAAAACUGAGUUGCAGCCAGCCCUGAGUGGUGAGCUGUGUGCAUUUCCCCCAUUUAAUCCAACGGAAGACUGGUGCAGUGAUAAUACAUCUGCAGAGCAAAUCAAGUGAAAUGUGAGUUGUUGUUUUUUAAAUCUACAUAACAUUUGCAAGAACAGCAGUACUGGAAUGUGUGUGUGUGUGUGUGUGUGUGUGUGUGUGUAGGUAGGUGAUAGAUAGAUGAUAGAUAGAUAGAUAGACAGAUAGACAGAUAGAUAUAGAGAUACACAUACAUAAAAACACAAUAUAGGUGAUAUAUAGAUAUGUCAAUAUAUUGACAUAUAUUGAAAGAAAGGAAGCAAAGGAAAGAGCACAACAGGUCCAUUCAACUUUCACUUAAAAUGGGUUUAAAAGUAGCUGAUGCUAAUAUAGGAAAAAGAUAGUUAUUAACAUUGCAAACUGACGCUAAUAUUGGAGAAAUAUAUAGUUCUAGACAUUGCUAGAUGCAGAUCAACAGAUAUUACUUAUGUAAAAUAUUGUUAUCUUACCUGCUAACUGUUUUUGAGGUAAUUUACAAUAAAUAUGGUGAAACAGAUAAUCAGAAUGUUGGUCUCUCACUAACUGGGGGCUUCCUCAGCCAGGUUCUUAAUGAUGUGCUUUCUGGCUUGCUUCACUAAGAAGGAACUAGGGGAGAAAAUGUGUUUAUAAUUGUUUCUUCAGUGAUCAGAUGUUCCAGCUGUCUCUUUUGUUGAAUCACUGGAUACAUAAAUCCUUGAGGAACUAGAAAUGCCUAGAAAUGAGGAACACUAGAAAUGUUUGGCAAACAAGCCAGUUGUUGGAAUCCCGUAGAGGGCUUUCAAAACAGCCAGAUGUUGGAAUCCCUCAGAGGGGAAGUCUUCCUCAUUUGGUCUCCUGGCUCCUGACUACAGACACAAAUAGCAGCCAUUGUGGGAGGCUGUUUGGAAGUCCAUCUCCAUCCUGUAAAAUAUUUAUGGUGCAAGUGCUGAUCAGAUCCUUUACAAAGAAUACACAUUAUAGUUCCUAACACAUGUAAGAAGAGUUCAACCUCUCUCUUUACCCCCAUUCAAACUGCCAGCAAUUAUCUCUAUAAUCUAAUCUUCCAGAUUUACAGCACUGCAGAAACAAUGCAUAUAAUAGAGGAAUAGUUAUAUAAAAAAAAUCAAAAUCAGCUACAACCACCUUUAAAUAUAAUAAAGUGAAACAGUUAUCUUUCUAGGGGGAAAUAGCAAAGAAGAAUGCAGUCUCAAAGGAGCUUCAAACAACAUUAUUAAAAACUCUCCUCUCUGGAGAACUGUGAAAUGUAGUAAUUGUCACAUGCAAACCACACAAAAGUAAGGAUAAUGGGAGAUAGCUAUUUCAUAUAGACAUACAGUAUUUCAGAGGGGGAAGGUGAAUCUAUAAAUACACUCCAGUGCCUUACAGGAUUGCAUUCACAAACACAGAGUAUAACUGUUUCAGCCAUUGCAAAUAUUUGAUUUAAGAAACCAGAACAAGAGACAGGAGUACCAAGAAAUAGAUGUAUUUCAAAUAAAUACUUCAAAUAUUAAACCCUCUCAUAGAGUGCAACUUCUUCACCUUUUGCUUAGUCAUUUUCUGCUUAUAUUUAUUUCUCCAGAUAAAUGGUUUUGGGCUGACUCAUAAGGUAAAAGGUAUGUCCAUUUUGCUUGGUCAGCACUUGGGACAUCAAUGGCUACUAGUCACAGCAGCUAUGCUUCAAAAUGCCGGUUGCUGGAAACCACAGGAGGGGAGAGUAUGUUUGUACUCAGCUCCUGCUUGCUGCCUUUUCAUAGGCAUCUGGUUGGCCAUGGUGAGAUCAUAAUCCAUCAGGCCCUUCUUAUAUUCUUUGAUUUCCUUUUAGGAAGCACAUCCUAAACCAAAUGAGCCAUAAUGGAAGAAACAUAUUCACAUUAGGUUUGAAACAGAUGAAUUAAAAACUCAUAAUCUUUCCCAUGCAGAAGCAUGUGCCAUGAUAAAAAUAUAUAAAGUCAUGGGUUUUAGAAGAAAAAUGUCAAUGCUAUACACAACCUGAUACACCAACUCUAUUUUUUUCCUCGCUUAAAAGAAUACUGUUGAACGUUCCACAUAUCUCAGAUACCCUUCUGCAUUUUUAUUUUUAUUUUAAUGUGUAGCUUUGGAAUUUUCAAUCCAUGGAUAUUUGCAGGGGCCCUAUUUUUUUACAUUCACAAAAUAUGAGAACUAGGACAUACUUGAUGACAUGAUAGGUUUAGAUUUACAAACACACAAAAAUCUGAAACAUUCUGAAACAACCCAUUGAAAUCAUGCUUAGGCUUUUUAGCAAUGGCAAGCUAGAUGUUCCUAGAUGCCACCAUGGAUGGAGAAGCAAGUUCAGGUUCAUGUCUCCUCCAUGAUUCUAUAAUUCUGCAACUCUCUGAAUUCCAUGCAUAAAUAAGUAAGCACAAGCACUUUCCACAAUAUAGAUAAUUUAAUGUUUUGCAAGUGUGAUGCAACACUGAAAAUUUGGGAAUGCAUACAGUUCAUGAUCGUCUCAGAAUCAAAGUUAAUUUGAUUGUGAGUGAUGUCAAGGUUAGUAGCCCAGAGUCUCCAUUAAUUUAGUUUAGGGGGAAAAACAUCAUCAGUAAAUUAGUGUAAAUUGGUAAAGUAACUGUAUUAGUGGAUUCCAGGCUUACCUGUCACAUUUAAUCAGUUAACUGCAUGUGUGCUACUGUGCAUGUAAAGAAUUUCAGAAAGCUAUCUCUGUACAUGUAUAUGUUCAGAAAUCAUUACAAUUAGAAAUAUAAUUUACUUGGACUUAGUUCAGAUAGAUUUUAGUUUUUGCCCCCCUCUGAGAUCCAUCGAUGGAAGAGCAGUGAAUUAGGAGCUGACUGUUCAAAUCAGCGGUAAUGCAUGAACACUUACUCCUUUCAUCAGUAAUGAAAUGUCAGUCCCCUGUGCUGUUGAUUCUAGGCAAGCUGUUUCAAGAAUACAUAAUGGGGGACAGUCUUGUUUUACCCUAAGCAUGUGCUGUUCAACUGUAAUGAAGAUCAGAGAAUCAGAACCAGGCAGAUCUUAUUUACAGAACAUCCUUUUAAAGCUUCAGGUGUAACUUCAUCCAGGAAAACCACUUUUUGUUGUCUAGAAACACAGCAGGUAAGCUUUUAAUGACUGUUUGGCCACUGAGUUGGGUUUCUUUGGGGUAAGCCAGAAGUGACAACUAGGUUGCUCAAUAAAAUAAGUGGCAAACAUCAAAAUAAUUGCCAUGACUCAGACUCACUUGUACAGUGUUCUAAUAAUCCCCCGUAUUGAUUUUAUUUGAUGUUUUCUUGUUUAAAACACUCUGAUGCAUUUUUUCUCCAGAUCUUGUUUCACAUAAGCUUUUUCAUACAUCGUACUUUGCUGCAAAAUGUAACAAUAACAAUAAUAAUGAACCUCUUUGGAAACCGAUAAGUUUUCUUUAUACUUCUAAUUAUGAAACUUACUAAAAUUUUGAAGAAUGUUUUCUUGCUUUCUUCCCCCUCUCUCUGCCUGCUACAUUUCCUUACAAUAAGCUAUCUAACUUAAGAACAUAAGUCCUGAAGAAUCAGGACAAAGGCCUGUCUAGUUAAGCAUCCUGUUUACACAACCAGAUGCUUCUGAGAAGCUCACAAAUGAAACAUGGAUGCAGUAGCACUCUUCUGCUCCAUGUUCCUCAGUGGUUAAUAUCCAGAGGCAUGGGGAUCCCAAUCCUGGAUAUCAUAAGCAGUAUAAAGGUAAAGGGACCCCUGACCAUUAGGUCCAGUCGUGACCGACUCUGGGGUUGCGGCGCUCAUGUCACUUUAUUGGCUGAGGGAGCCGGCGUACAGCUUCCGGGUCAUGUGGCCAGCAUGACUAAGCCACUUCUGGUGAACCAGAGCAGCGCACAGAAACGCCAUUUACCUUCCCACCAGAGCGGUACCUAUUUAUCUACUUGCACUUUGAUGUGCUUUCAAGCUGCUAGGUUGGCGGGAGCAGGGACCGAGCAACGGGAGCUCACCCCGUCGCGGGGAUUCGAACCGCCGAUCUUCCGAUCGGCAAGUCCUAGGCUCUGUGGUUUAACCCACAGCACCACCCGCGUCCCCAUAAGCAGUAUACUAGUAGCCAUAAGCUACACAUCCAGUGAUUGCUAAGCUUUGCUUCCUGAAGCCCAUAAAAGAGGGUUUUGGCAGAGCUCCAUCCCUCAAAUUACUGGAAUAAUAAUGUCUGCCAGGUUGGAAAGGAGUGCUCACCAGUAGUGGGAUGUGUAGUGGGGCAACUAUAGAGCCACCCUCUUGACAUUGGCGUCACUGAUGAUUAGCUGGGCAGGACUGUAGCAGGGUGGCAGUGAGGCAAGGGCAACAACGGUGUGUUGGUGGAAGUAACAGAUUGGUGACAGCAGACCUGUUGGUAAAACUGCUGAGCUCUGACCUCACCACUGCCCUGCUCCAGCGUUGUCAGUGUCAAAAGGUUGCCUCUACAGCUCUACCCCACCCCACAAGCUGCUAUUGCUGCUCAUGUUCAAAUCAGAGAUGAAAAUUAGGUGCUUAUGCACACCAUCCCUUGACUGAAGUCCACUACCCAGAACAGUUUUCUACACAAAGUGAAUCCAUUGGUUCUGAAUCCAUGUUACUCAUGCCAGAAGAAACAGAUUUAUUACACUUUAGAAAUGAUAGAAUACACAGGGGGUAGGGGGAAAAUGUGUGAACCAGCUAUUAGUUGUAGACUUUCCAAGGUAACAUUAAAUGUGUUCGUAGAGAGAGUGGUUGCCAUUCAAGAAACCGUUACUUAAAGUACAUCUAUUGAAAUGAAUGGCCACAACUAAUAGGUCCAAAAAUUUCAAUGGGUCUGCUCUGAGUAAACAUUAGUUGACUACCACUGAGUAUCUGGACAUACAUUUUAAUGUUAACUAUGGAAUAGAUGUUAAAGAUGUAAGUUUAAUAUGCAUAAAGUGAAAUGUUUAUGUGCACUGAAGUAAAAGAAAAACAACUUAUGCAAAGGUUUGCAUUUGCAAAGAGAAAUUUGCAUUAUACACAGGAGGUUUCAUUAAAUACUGCAGAAAAGGUUGGAUGUUUCAAUUUCAGUCUUUAGGCUAAUGGAUGUCUUAUCCUGAAAACCUGCAGAUCUCUCUCAGCAGGAAUGUGUAACCUGAGAACACAGCUUUUCUGUCAGUGAUGGAGCCAGUAGCAGCAGAGGCUAAGCUGCAUGAUGAAGAGCAAGCAAGUUGCUUGGGAUCCUUCUCAGAGACAGAAAAGUUACUGAACUGUUUUAAUGACAAAAAGAAGACAGGGC